UCCGAGUUGACCCCGGCAGUUUCUCCAGAGUUCCCGGCAUUACCCGCUGGCAACAUUGGACAGGGGUUGCGCUCGUUGCGCCACUUAAGGCAACACCUCACGGCACGAGCUGACGACAGCCAUGCAGCACCUGUGCAGGCUCCCGAAGGAGCACCGGCUUUCACCGGUUUCACCCUGCAUGUCAAGCCCUGGUAAGGUUCUUCGCGUUGCGUCGAAUUAAGCCACAUGCUCCGCCGCUUGUGCGGGUCCCCGUCAAUUCCUUUGAGUUUUAGCCUUGCGGCCGUACUCCCCAGGCGGGGUGCUUAAUGCGUUAGCUGCGGCACGGAGAUCGUGGAAAGAUCCCCACACCUAGCGCCCAACGUUUACGGCGUGGACUAC
rnacentral:misc_RNA from 1 species